ACCCCUGCCGAGCAGGUUGGGAAAGCGACAUGCCAUCCACGCCUGUGCAUCCUGCACCUGUGCCAGGCAGACUGUGACACAAAGCCAGGGUGAUGGGGUGGACCAAGCUUUGCUGCAAGAAUGCCGGGCUCCUGUCACUCCUUCCUCUGCCUCUCGCUACCACCGCCGAAGGUCUUCAAGGUCACGAGAUGAGCGCUAUCGGUCAGAGAAGUGCAGGUUCACAGCUAAACGGAGGAGAGAGUACAGGCUUCCCACAUGUUCCUUUCCCCACACACAGCCUCCCCACCACAGCUUCCUGCCUCACACAGCGCACCUGUGACAACCAGGACCUACCUUGACCCUUCAUUAUGGCUCAAAGCUUACAGAGCACAUUCACGUUUACUCUUCGCGUUGUACGUUCUGAGUCUUGACAAAAGUAUAACGGCAACGGGAUAUUACUCACUGCUAACAGGAGAUGAUCUAUCAAGCCACAGAAAAAUACAAGGAGGAAACUUAAAUGCAUGUUGCUAAGAGAAGAAGCCAAUCCGAAAAGUCUACAUACUAUUCUAUUCCAAGUAUAGGACGUUCCGGAGACGGUGAAACUGUGGGAACAGUAGAAACAUCAGUGGUUGCCAUGGACCGAGGGGAAGGAAGAGGCGGAUACACAGAGCACAGAGAAUCUUUACAGCAGUAAAACCAUUCUGUAUGAUACUGUAAUGGUAGAUAUAUACAUUUGUAAAAAUCUACCUUAACUUUUAAUCUUUUAAAUUAUGCUGUUUGUUGUUGUUGUUGUUUUCUGAUGGAGUCUCGCUCUGUUGCCAGGCUGGAGUGCAGUGGCACGAUCUUGGCUCACUGCAACCUCUGCCUCCUGGGUUCAAGAGAUUCUCCUGCCUCAGCCUCCCAAGUAGCUGGGACUACAGGUGCCCACCACUGCACCUGGCUAAUUUUUGUAUUUUUAGUAGAGACUGGGUUCACCAUCUUGGCCAGGCUGGUCUCGAACUCCUGACCUCGUGAUCCACCUGCCUCAGCCUCCCAAGGUGCUGGGAUUACAGGCGUGAGCCACCGCGCCCAGCCGUUUUUGUUUUAAAAACUGCAGACAAGCUGGGUGCAGUGGCUCAAGCCUGUAAUGGCUGCACUUUGGGACACUGAAGUGGCUGGAUUGCUUGAGCCCAGGAGUUCAAGACCAGCUGGGCAACAUAGUGAGACCCCGUCUCUACAGAAAAAAAAAAAUUAUUAAAAAAAAUAUCCAGGCAUAGUGCUGCAUGCCUGUAGUCCCAGCUACUCCAGAGGCUGUGGUAGAAAAAAAUCACUUGACCCAGCAGUUUGAGGCUGCAGUGAGCUAUGAUCAUGCCACUGCACUCUGGCCUGGGCGACAGAGUGAAACCCCAUCCCAAAACAAAGAACAACAAAAAACCUACAAGCACCCGUCAGAGAGAGUGUGGGUUUGGUUCCAGACCACUGCAAUAAGGCAAAUGUUACAGUCAAGUUAGUCGCACAAACAUUUUGUUUCCCAGUGCUUAUAAAAGUUAUGCUUAAACUAUAUUGUCGUCUAAUGGUUGUUUAAUAAUUAAUUAGUAAUUAAUAGCAUUAUGUCUAAAAAGUAUGCACAUAACUUAAAAUACCUAAUUGCUAAAAAUUACUAAUGAAUAUCUGAGCCUUACCAAGUCAUAAUGUUUUUGCUGGUGGAAAUCUUGCCUCUGUAUUGACGGCUGCUGACUGAUCAGCCUGGGGGUUGCUGAAGGUUGGGUGCCCAUGUCAGUUUCUUAAAAUAAAACAAUGAAGUUUGUUCCGUUCACA
ensembl:lncRNA